rnacentral:rRNA from 1 species
AGUGAACGCUGGCGGUAGGCCUAACACAUGCAAGUCGAACGGCAGCACAGUAAGCGCUUGCUCUUACGGGUGGCGAGUGGCGGACGGGUGAGGAAUACAUCGGAAUCUACUUUUUCUUGGGGGAUAACGUAGGGAAACUUACGCUAAUACCGCAUACGACCUACGGGUGAAAGCAGUGGAUCUUCGGACCUUGCGCGAUUGUAUGAGCCGAUGUCGGAUUAGCUAGUUGGCGGGGUAAAGGCCCACCAAGGCGACGAUCCGUAGCUGGUCUGAGAGGAUGAUCAGCCACACUGGAACUGAGACACGGUCCAGACUCCUACGGGAGGCAGCAGUGGGGAAUAUUGGACAAUGGGCGCAAGCCUGAUCCAGCCAUACCGCGUGGGUGAAGAAGGCCUUCGGGUUGUAAAGCCCUUUUGUUGGGAAAGAAAAGCAGCAGGUUAAUACCCCGCUGUUCUGACGGUACCCAAAGAAUAAGCACCGGCUAACUUCGUG